rnacentral:rRNA from 1 species
UACGGAGGGUGCAAGCGUUAUCCGGAUUCACUGGGUUUAAAGGGUGCGUAGGCGGCUAUAUAAGUCAGUGGUGAAAGCCCGCAGCUCAACUGCGGAACUGCCAUUGAAACUGCAUAGCUUGAAUCUGGUUGAAGUGGGCGGAAUACAUCAUGUAGCGGUGAAAUGCUUAGAUAUGAUGUAGAACACCGAUUGCGAAGGCAGAUCACUAAGCCAACAUUGACGCUGAGGCACGAAAGCGUGGGUAGCGAACAGG